rnacentral:rRNA from 1 species
UGCCAGCAGCCGCGGUAAUACGGAGGGUGCAAGCGUUACUCGGAAUCACUGGGCGUAAAGGAUGCGUAGGCUGGAUAUCAAGUCAUAAGUGAAAUCCCACGGCUUAACCGUGGAACUGCUUGUGAAACUGGUAUUCUAGAAUAUGGGAGAGGCAGAUGGAAUUAGUGGUGUAGGGGUAAAAUCCGUAGAGAUCACUAGGAAUACCGAUUGCGAAGGCGAUCUGCUGGAACAUUAUUGACGCUGAGGCAUGAAAGCGUGGGGAGCAAACAGGAUUAGAAACCCCCGUAGUCC